AACCUGCAGAAGGAUCAUUA
rnacentral:rRNA from 4 species